rnacentral:piRNA from 1 species
CAAAAAAUUUGUUGAUGCAGCAAGGGUGAGC